rnacentral:rRNA from 1 species
AUGACAAAGCCGAAGGGAAAUGGAGGUAUUCAAUUCCGCAAUAUGCACUAUUUCAACCAAGCCCUUCUGACUAGACAAUAUUGGAGAUUGAUUCAAACACCGGAGAGCUUAUGUGCAAGAGUUCUAAAAUCCAAAUAUUAUCCAAAGGGAAGGCUGCUGGAUGCAGUGUUCUCCUCAGAUGCCUCGCCGGUUUGUAGAGGAAUUGAAUUUGGUCUUGAAUUACACAAGAAGUGA